UUAUACAUUAGAACAUGCCGGGGGACGUUCGCAACGGAAGUUUGGUAGUUUUAAGCGUUAAUACCGUCAACCCCUUGGUGAACUAACAGUUGGAUGCACAAUUACCCGGAGGUCCUAGAUAGCUUAUCGGCGUAGGAACAUCGGGGACACUCCGGCACCUAUAUGACCUUAUGCGCGUGUGAGACUGGUGUGCCAUCGUUAAGUCGAUGUCAUAAAUCAGGUCAUUUUUUG
rnacentral:misc_RNA from 1 species